CAGCCGCCGCGGGAAUACGAAGGGGGCUAGCGUUGCUCGGAAUGACUGGGCGUAAAGGGCGCGUAGGCGGCGAUCAAAGUCAGGCGUGAAAUUCCUGGGCUCAACCUGGGGGCUGCGCUUGAUACUGGGUUGCUUGAGUGGGGAAGAGGGUCGUGGAAUUCCCAGUGUAGAGGUGAAAUUCGUAGAUAUUGGGAAGAACACCGGUGGCGAAGGCGGCGACCUGGUCCUUUACUGACGCUGAGGCGCGAAAGCGUGGGGAGCAAACAGGAUUAGAUACCCCAGUAGUCCCUGUCUCUUAUAC
rnacentral:rRNA from 1 species